rnacentral:rRNA from 1 species
CAGUCGCCGCGGGAAUACGUAGGGUGCGAGCGUUAAUCGGAAUUAUUGGGCGUAAAGCGUGCGCAGGCGGUUCGUUAAGACAGAUGUGAAAUCCCCGGGCUUAACCUGGGAACUGCAUUUGUGACUGGCGAGCUAGAGUAUGGCAGAGGGGGGUAGAAUUCCACGUGUAGCAGUGAAAUGCGUAGAGAUGUGGAGGAAUACCGAUGGCGAAGGCAGCCCCCUGGGCCAAUACUGACGCUCAUGCACGAAAGCGUGGGGAGCAAACAGGAUUAGAUACCCGAGUAGUCCCUGUCUCUUAUAA